rnacentral:tRNA from 1 species
CAGAGAGUAGUUUAUAAUUAAAAUAUUAAUUUUGGAGAUUAAUGAUAAGAGUUUUUUUUCUCUGA